UAAUAUUUGGGCAAUCUGCCCUUAAGAGGAAAACAACCUGCCGAAAGGCGGGCUAAUGUUCCAUAAGACCACAGGAUGGCAUCAUCCAGGGGUUAAAGCUCCGCAAGGGGCGCUUGAGGAGGAGCCCGAAUCCUAUCAUGGUAGUUGGUGAGGUAAUGGCUCACCAAGCCGUUGACGGGUAGCCGGCCUGAAAGGGUGACCGGCCACACUGGCACUGAGACACGGGCCAG
rnacentral:rRNA from 1 species